AAAAGAAUGUCUCUACACGAAAGCAACAAACAACAAAACAUACAGACGCAACAGGAGUGAGGUGUUUUUCUUUUUUUUUUCCUUGUUUUCCUCCCUUUUGGCUUUUUGUUUUU
rnacentral:ribozyme from 1 species